rnacentral:lncRNA from 1 species
AUGUCAUGCGAAGAAAUGCUUCUUGAGCAGGUCUUUGUUUUUAUGCAGCUGCUGGAAACACAGAUGAAGCUGUGGGGUAUAAGAAACAGUUCAGAGCCGAGACACGUUAGCACAGCCAGGACCGUGUCGGUGCUCCCAGCUGCAGGAGGUGUGCUCAGCAGACGGACGGAGCGAGGGCAGGCAGGGAUCCGCAGCAGCGCCUGUGCCGGGGUAAGAAAGCAGACGUGUGGGGGCUCUCCAGGACUGCUGUGCGCAAAGGGAACUGAGCAGGAAAGUCACUCUAAGGACUAGUGCUUAAAUGUGCACUGAAAUAUUAAUGCAACCUCAUUUUCAGAUGGCAGGGCUCUCUUGAAUGAAGCCAUAUGUUGUACUCGCGGGGGACGAGAGGCGGCUUGGUCUCGGCUUGGAGAAACAUGGAAGUGUUGAGAAGAUAGACCUGAGUCAAGUUCAGGGUUUCAGCAGUUUUCAGCUCUACUCUCCUUUCUCCUUCAGAUUUUAGAAGACAAGACAUGCUGCAAGAGCAAACAGGAUUGUUUUUUUUUUUUGCAUCAUAUCAUUUACCAAGCAGUUAAACCCCCACAGAUUUUUAGGCUGCUGCCGUACUUUUUUCCGCACUUCAAAGGAUUAAAAUUGAACACGUUCCAAGUGAAAAGUAACAGCCCAAACUGACAAAUCAAACUAGAUGUAACCCUGUGUUUCAUUAUUAAAGCUUGAUGUGUUCAGGCUCAGUCUCCCUGGCACAGGGAGGCUCGUCCUGCCUCCCUGUCCGAGGAGGAGCUCGGACGUCUCUCCGUACCCACAGCCGUGGGCUCGUGGCAAGUCUCCUGCAACACCUACCAGCUCAAGCCUUGUUUGGGCCGUUCCUCGUCUCUUUCAUGAUGAGGCACUGGACAAGCAAGUGUUACGUCCAUCAGUGAGAGGGCAUUACCUGUAGGAGAAGGCUGACAUCUCUCCUGGUUUUAGAGGCAUCUGUGGUGCCUCCUGCAGGGGCGGCCUCCAGGCUGGCUGUGGCAUGGCGUUAGAGGUGACACAGCUGUAACCUCCGGCAGCUGCCAGCCCUUCUUGGCCAAAUAAAGUGACUGUUUAAGCCUACCUCUGUCA